GAUGAAGAACGCAGCGAAAUGCGAUACGUAAUGUGAAUUGCAAAUUCAGUGAAUCAUCGAGUCUUUGAACGCACAUUGCGCCCCCUGGUAUUCCGGGGGGCAUGCCUGUCCGAGCGUCAUUGCUGCCCUCAAGCACGGCUUGUGUGUUGGGCCCCGUCCUCCGAUCCCGGGGGACGGGCCCGAAAGGCAGCGGCGGCACCGCGUCCGGUCCUCGAGCGUAUGGGGCUUUGUCACCCGCUCUGUAGGCCCGGCCGGCGCUUGCCGAUCAACCCAAAUUUUUUAUCCAGGUUGACCUCGGAUCAGGUAGGGAUACCCACUGAACUUAAGCAUAUCAAUAAGCGGAGGA
rnacentral:misc_RNA from 1 species